GAAGAACCAGAGCCUUCAGCAUCUAAGCCUCCUUCAACAAGCACACCUGAACUAACAAGAAAGCCUUGGGAGAGAACAAACACAAUGAAUGGAAGCAAGUCUCCUAUUAUUUCAAGACCAAAAUCUGCAGCAUCCUCUGGGCAACCAAGUACAAAUGGAGUACAGUCUGAAGGGCUAGACUAUGACAGAUUGAAACAGGAUAUUUUAGAUGAAAUGAGAAAGGAAUUAACAAAACUAAAAGAAGAAUUAAUUGAUGCUAUCAGGCAAGAACUGAGCAAGUCAAAUACAGCAUAGAAAGACUAGAACUAAGACGUUAUGACCACUGGUCUUGGUAUAAAAUCAACUACAUUUUAUGAGCUGUUUAGAAGAAAGCAGAACACCCAAUUGGAAGAAGGGGAAAGCAAGAUUCUGAAAACGUUCAGACAUCACUCUGGUGGUCUACUAUUUCCCUUUGCUGCUGUUUUCUGACUUUUCAACAGGGUGGAAAAUAGUCUUAAGUUGCAGUAGUGAUUUAUGCAGAAACUCCUAUACUUGUCAAGACAAGAUCACAGUGCAUUGAAAUGUUUUCAUCUCAAGACGAAGCUACGCAUCUCACAGUUCAUUGUUUAAGACAUAAAAAGAGAAGAGCUUGAAGGCUAUUCAGAGAGGUUUUCUUUAUUAAUGAAGGAUUUAGCAAGUUACACUGUUGUACUGCAAGAGUAUCUCAGGUUAGUCUUCCUAUCAUAUUUGGUAUGUCCAUGAAUAAUUUAAAAGAUCAAACAUUACUUCAGUUGCAAAAUAAAGAAUAGAUGACAAGACUGUGUGUUGUAACACAAUAUUGGUGAAUAAGAGACUUGGGAUAUUUUACUUCAUAAAGUUUUGGAAUCUUAUGACAGGAAGCCUCUCUUGUUAACCUUCAUACAGUUUCAUAGGGGAAAAUGUAAGUGCUGUCCAGAGUAUAAAGAUGUAGAUGCCUUCCUAAAUUGUAAUGCUUUACCAAAUGUAAGACUUCUCCAGAACACAAAUCAAUUGUCAAAUAUAAAUGGUUAGAUUGUUAUAGACUUACCAUAGGUUUUUGAGCUUUUUUAAGAUUUAUGCAUGUAGACAUUUUUGUAAUAUAAAACAACCACAGAGUUGGCUUUUUAAUUUAAAACAUCCUUGCAUGCCACAAAUAUUAAGUAGCCUUUUUUCAGUAAGGCCUAGUUACUGCCCAGGCAAUACUUGGGAGAUGUAGAGUUGGGAAUAGGGGUAACUUUUUUAUUUAAAACAAUUUGUAUUAAUUACUGCACUAUUUUUCCUUAUAUUGCAUGCAUGUGUAAUAAUAAGGAAAAUGAUGUGACUUAUCAGUAACCAUGUUAAAUAGAACCAGGUACUUAAUACUUUUUUGUAUCAUUUUCUUUAAUUCUUUGUAUUUUAAACUUAUUGAUGCUUCAGUAACAGUUCUGGAAACUCCAGUCAGUUUUGCUGCUUUUCUUAACUGGGUCUGAAGUUAAGCGUCAUAAUUACACUUGGAAAUGAUUUAAAAGAUGCAAAGAGAAUGAAUAGCGUUCUUUCCAUAACAUUUACUUUUACCUGUGUAUUGAGACAGGUUUGGUUUAAUUAGGAAGUGAAAUAUUAGGGCUCGUGCGACCAUUAUGCUCCAAGAGAUUGAGAGUAGGUGUUGAGAACGCACAUUCCUUUCCUCCCCUCUUCUGUCCUGCAAAAGUUCCUACCACCCUGCACAUUAUAUAACCAUGCUUAAUAAUCUUCCAGCUAUACUUUCAAAUCCUUUUAAAGCAGAACCCUGAUUAGCAUUAACUUUUACAGUUGGUGCUCAUGCAUCCUUUAAUCCUGGUUAACGCCAGUGAAGAGGAAGCCACACUAGAGAACAGGGGAGGGAUUGGGAGGGUGAUCCUACAACCUGCUGCCCAGUCCUGUGCUUUGGACCUUGGUAACUAAUAAUCAAACACUGAAAAAACUGCAAGGUGAAUAAAUCUCAAGAACAGUGUUGUCAACCAUUUUUAUUUCUAGAAGAAUGGAUUUUAUUUUCUCCAUUAUAUUCAUCUCUUAUUCCAGGAUUUAAACAUUGCUAAAACAUACCAGGCAAACUUCAAAGAAGGGCAGCAGGGUGGGGGGUUGGGUAUCCUGCAACUAAAAAUUCAGCAAUUUGGCAAAUUAAGUGCAACAGUAAUUUACUGCAUCUUGAAUUUUCAGUUAUAAUAGUGCCAUGUUUAUUUUGUGAGCUAUGCUGAUUUUAAAAUAACUUGCCAUUUUGGACAUAAUCAGUUUCUGAGAUUAUCUACUUCCAUUUGGCGUAGUUAUAAGAAAGCUUUAACUAGCAUAUUGUCCCAAGUGUUGAACACCAAAGCAAAUUUAACAGCAUUUGUUUGCUACUUGAAUGAGAAAAUUCUCCAUUUCCCCUCUUUCUGUAUGAUGGAGGAAUGGCUUGUAACGUAUAAUCCCAAUUCAGUGGUUACUUAAAAAAAAAGUUCUCUGCAUGCAUUAAUUGAAGGCAUUUAGAUCUAAAGAUAAGCAAAUGCUGUUGCUCUCAAAUUAAGGAGGCACUUUCAUCUUAGAGGAGUAACUUUUAUGUUUAAGCAGUAUAAACUUAAUCACUUACUCUCGUCGGAAAUCAUGUUUGAUUUUGUUUGUAAAGAAAAUUCAGAGAUAGUUUACGAGAAUGUUAUAGGUGUCCAUGGUCCAUGGCUAAGAGAAUUAAUUUACUAGGUUGUGAAUGAAACUGGUUAAUGCACUAAACGUUUUGUGCCUUGGUCUAAAAUUAACAUGAUUUCUGUGUAAAAGAAAAAAGGAAGGUUCUGUACUCUUUCUACAUGCAUAUCUAUAAGAUCCUCAAUUGGACUGUUCCAGGGAAUCCAGUUUGAUAAACUGUAAAUUCAUGCUGUUGUACUAGCAGCUAUGCCAUUGCCAGAUAUUUCUGUAAUUAAAAUGAGCUACUAAAGAAGCAGCUUAAGUUAUUUUAAUUACUGUUCUUGGAGGGAAAAAAUGAUGGUUCCUGUGCUUUUGUACAGCGGAUGCCUUAAGCUGAAUAUGGUUUAGGGGAUCAUUUUUAAUUCCAGGAAGGUUUUUCUUUCCUCAACACUGUGAUCUGAUCUGUGAUAAAUCUGUCCUAUCCAUAUACAAGUGGCUAACAAGUUAAUCACAAACAAACUGAAUGUACAAAUCUUAGUGCUGGUGCUGAAAUCUCUUCAGAGAGUUGUCAUGAAACAAAGUUCAUUGUUCAAAAAAGUUUUGGAAGCAUCAAGUGUCAAUCAAAACUGAAGAUGAAACACUAAUGAAUGUUGAAUUUUCAUGCAUUUAGUUUUACCUCCUUUUGAGUUUUUCAGUUAAUUCUCUGCUAUUUUUAUCAUACUGUGUCAUGUUAAAAUUUCUUAAAUGCUAACUUUGUUUUGUUUGAGCAGAUGAAAUAAAAAUGCAAUAUAUACAUGCUGUUGCUACUGUUUGUGAAAUUUGGCUUACUGUGGAAAAUCAAGACCAUCCUUACCAUGUUGAAACAACUUGAUUUCUUUGAUUUGUAAUAUGUUGCUGAUGCCCUUAUAAAUGUGUAACUUUUGAAAUGUGCUACCACACAUGUGCUACAAGGAAAUGUAAGGCAGUAGUAUGCUUAUAACUCAGCACUGAUUCUCAAUCUAAGCAAUUACUGCUAUUUUCCUAAUUUAAAUUGCUUUGGAUCUUUGAUUUCUCUUCCUUCCCCAUGUUUCAAGGUACGUGCACAUAAACCACACAUGCCCAUAAGUUUUACCUGAACACUGUAGUUCAUACUAUUUGCUUUGACAGUCUCCAUUUCCUGUCACCUUUGCUGACAUAGGGUGUUGAGUAUAAAGAUGAGCUAGUUUCACUUGCUGUGUCAAGCUUCACCACUAUCAGAACACUUCUAGAAAUGGGUUUUAAUCCAUUUUUCUACACAAUGCCACAAAUAUACUGGCCUGACAGAAUAGGUUUUUGAUAUGAAAAGCUUCUCCAAAUUCAAGUUAGAAAUAAAAGAAACUAAAACAAAAUGCAGACAGUCGAUUGGGUCAAACAAAAUUACAGAGUUGAUUG